CUUAAGCAUAUCAAUAAGCGGAGGAAAAGAAACCAACAGGGAUUGCCCUAGUAACGGCGAGUGAAGCGGCAACAGCUCAAAUUUGAAAUCUGGCGCAAGCCCGAGUUGUAAUUUGUAGAGGAUGCUUCUGGGUAGCGACCGAUCUAAGUUCCUUGGAACAGGACGUCAUAGAGGGUGAGAAUCCCGUAUGUGACCGGCCCGCACCCUUUACGUAGCUCCUUCGACGAGUCGAGUUGUUUGGGAAUGCAGCUCUAAAUGGGAGGUAAAUUUCUUCUAAAGCUAAAUACCGGCCAGAGACCGAUAGCGCACAAGUAGAGUGAUCGAAAGAUGAAAAGUACUUUGGAAAGAGAGUUAAAAAGCACGUGAAAUUGUUGAAAGGGAAGCGCCUGCAACCAGACUUCGCGGCAGUGUUCCGCCGGUCUUCUGACCGGUUCAUUCUCUGUCGCGAGGCCAUCAUCGUCUGGGCCCGCCGGAUAAGACCUGAGGAAUGUGGCUCCCCCUCGGGGGAGUGUUAUAGCCUCUGGUGAUGCGGCGUGGCUCGGGCGAGGUCCGCGCUUCGGCAAGGAUGAUGGCGUAAUGGUUGUCGGCGGCCCGUCUUGAAACACGGACCAAGGAGUCUAACAUCUAUGCGAGUGUUCGGGUGUCAAACCCCUACGCGUAAUGAAAGUGAACGGAGGUGGGAACCGCAAGGUGCACCAUCGACCGAUCCUGAUGUCCUCGGAUGGAUUUGAGUAAGAGCAUAGCUGUUGGGACCCGAAAGAUGGUGAACUAUGCCUGAAUAGGGUGAAGCCAGAGGAAACUCUGGUGGAGGCUCGCAGCGGUUCUGACGUGCAAAUCGAUCGUCAAAUUUGGGUAUAGGGGCGAAAGACUAAUCG
rnacentral:rRNA from 1 species